rnacentral:lncRNA from 1 species
CCCAAGUGAACGGUCGUCCCCGGAGCAACUGUGCCUGGCCCAGCUGCGGCAGUCGCGUGUUCGCCGCGGUCCUUCGGCGUCGGGUUGCGUGCACAAGCACGCGCGCGAGUGAGUGAGGGCGCCUCGCCGGGAUGGACGGCCAGCGCCCGGAUCCGCGUCGUGUAGCUGUCGCUCCCGCUUCCCAAGUCCUGCAAGAGGCUGCCGUUCCUACCCGCCCCAGGCCGCAGACGCCCCGCCCAGGCCGGCGGGAAGCCCGGGCAGCCGGGGCGCUGGCGGCGGAGCGGAAAGGCAGGGCAGGGCCGGCAGGGCGCCUCCUCCCGGGCCGCUGCGGGGCGCAGCCUCCCCAUUUCCUGUCCGGCCCCGCUCCUCCCCCAGCUUCCUCUGGGGCCAGGCCCGGGGGGCUGGGCGUCAAGGACACCCCCUCCUCACUGCAGUCCCGCCACCCUUUCCAGCGCCGCCCCCACGGGAACGCAGCGAGGGGACAUCAGGCCCCCUCCCACCCCACCGAUCCCCACAGCCCCGUGGCCGCCCGGGUCCCGGGUCCCCAGCACAGGUCCCGGCCCGUCUGAGUCUGCGUGGGCCUUCUGCACCUCGAAAGCCGCGACUGAACGCCUGCAAAACCAGAAUUCCUCUUCUGCACAGCAGGUCAUAGAAAUUGGAGCCCUGGACCCCGAAAACAAGCUGUCGCACCUCAAAAGAUGGGGUGGUGUUUGGGUCAGUGGUGAGUGUAGGCCUUGAAUGCAUGAGGCCCUGGUUGCAUCCCCAGCACCACACAACAAAACUUGAAAGGCCCGCUGUUCCUACUGUCUCCCGGGAAGAUCUCUCCAGGCACAGGGUUCCAGCCCGGAAGAGGUGGUGCACACUGUGGAGACUGAGACAGGAGGAUCGCAAAUUCAAGCCCAGCAUGAGCACCUCAGGCUGGACCUGUCUGUGCCCAGCCCUUCCCCCUGCAGGAGUGACAGGAGGUGGCUGGGGUCGCCAGGGCUGGCAGGCCCAGCUGGGACUGACCUGUCUCCUGGGCUCCAAAGCCGCCUCCCUUCUGCCUCCCGGUUGCUGCUUCCAUGCGGACCGGGGCUAGCUUUGUCACGGUUGAUUGUCACUUGCCCCAGCCACCAUCCAGAUCCAACCCCAGGACAGCACAGUGGGGCCUGGCGGGUGCAUUUGUCUCUCUCCAAGGAGGGGAGCCAGGCACCACCCCCUCCUUGCUGAAGUGGGGCCGGGCCGGGUGGGGAACAGGCCGGUGGCCAUGCUGCCCCUGCCCAGCUGUGUGUGGGAGCCAGCCGCAACUCCCAGACCCAUUUCCUCACAGAGGCUGUAAUUAUGGGUAAUUUUCUAAAUGCAACACAAAAAUUAAACCCC